rfam:Capsicum annuum cultivar Zunla-1 unplaced genomic scaffold scaffold2793, whole genome shotgun sequence
AACUCUCAACAACGGAUGUCUCGGCUCUCAUAUUGAUGAAGAAUGUAGCAAAAUGCGAUACUUGGUGUGAAUUUCAGAAUCCCAUAAACCAUCAAGUCUUUGAACAUAAGUUAUGCCCAAAUCCAUUAGACCGAUGGCACAUCUGCCUGGACUUCA